GCUGGGUCCGGCUCGGCCGGGCGGCGGCAGCUGGUGACGCUGCCGCAGCUCAACUUCCCUUUCGUCGGCACGCUCACGCUCCCGGCCGUCGCUUGAGACGCGCGCUGAGAGCCCAGCAUGUAAUGAUUUUUGCGUUUUGUUUUAUUUUUUUUCGUGGGUUAAGCGAUCUCCAAGCUGGAUGCUCCUGCCACUAGCUAAUCUGCUGUGAUUUAGCUAAUAUGCCGUGCCGCGACGUCUGGUCCCGAUCGAGUUAUUAACUGCUGACGUGUUUUUCCCCCUUCUUGUAACUUCUAUCCAUACUGUCGUAAUGCUCAAAUACUCACAGCAAAUACAAAUUCAAAUAAAGGUAAUAAAUUCAGAGCAGGUUUAGACUUAAAUCCUCGAUUGGAAAUGCAGAAAUUCAUACGAAUAUGUCAGAGUUUGCACCAAUUAAAACAAAUUCAUUUCUGUUAGAAUUAAUAG
rnacentral:lncRNA from 1 species